rnacentral:rRNA from 1 species
UACGGAGGAUGCAAGCGUUAUCCGGAAUGAUUGGGCGUAAAGCGUCCGCAGGUGGCUGUGUAAGUCUGCUGUUAAAGAGUGAGGCUCAACCUCAUAAAAGCAGUGGAAACUACACGGCUAGAGUGCGUUCGGGGCAGAGGGAAUUCCUGGUGUAGCGGUGAAAUGCGUAGAUAUCAGGAAGAACACCGGUGGCGAAAGCGCUCUGCUAGGCCGCAACUGACACUGAGGGACGAAAGCUAGGGCAGCGAAUGGG